rnacentral:tRNA from 1 species
UAUUUUAUUGGCGCUUGAGGGGGCGUCAGCACAGCUCGGAGCGGUGUUGGCACAUGCCGGAGGCGGUUGGCGGGGCGUCCGGGCCGUCCCGGAAUAC